GAUGAACGCUAGCGGCAGGCCUAACACAUGCAAGUCGAGGGGUAGCAGGAUUAAGCUUGCUUAAUUGCCGACGACCGGCGCACGGGUGCGUAACGCGUAUGCAACCUACCUUAUACUGGGGUAUAGCCCGGAGAAAUUCGGAUUAAUCCCCCAUAGUACUAAUGAAUCGCAUGGUUUAUUAGUUAAAGCAUUGCGGUAUAAGAUGGGCAUGCGUCCUAUUAGCUAGAUGGUGAGGUAACGGCUCACCAUGGCUACGAUAGGUAGGGGGCCUGCGACGGUUGUCCCCCACACUGGUACUGAGACACGGACCAGACUCCUCCGGGAGGCAGCAGUGAGGAAUAUUGGUCAAUGGGCGCAAGCCUGAACCAGCCAUGCCGCGUGCAGGAAGAAUGCCCUAUGGGUUGUAAACUGCUUUUAUUUGGGAAUAAACCUCUUUACGUGUAGAGAGCUGAAGGUACCAAAUGAAUAAGCACCGGCUAACUCCGUGCCAGCCGCCGCAGUAA
rnacentral:rRNA from 1 species